UUUAGCUAUAGGAAGCUGAAAUAUGUCGGCAUUUUUAAAUUAUAUGAUAAAAUAGAAACCUAAUUGUUUAACAAGUGUCAGAAUGUUCCCCAAAGAAGACACUUUAAUUACGUGACAUGACGUCAUCACGGCCCGGCUGUUUGACACAACGGUCCUCAUAACAGUUUUUACCCUCUGCGGCGGAGAUACCACCAGGCUCCGUCCACACGCCCCCCGGCGCAGCCGCCCUGGUUCCUCGUGUCGCAGGAAAUGAGGUUCUGUGGCGACAGCUGAGGAGUCAUGUGACCCAUUGACUGGAUGGAGAUUCUGUCUGACGCCACAGCUGAAUCGGAGCCUACCAGCUGUGGAGAACGCCCAGGAGGCUGCGCAGUUGCCCUGGUCCAGCGGUUCGUGGAUCUUGCCCGGCCACUUGUCCGCCGAGUUGAAAGAGACGGGCAAGACGUCGCCCUGGGAAUCCAUGUUCAUCUAAGAAAGGGACCAAGCGAGUCAUGUGUUGCGGUUCGGGGCGCAGGCAGCGACACGCCGAGAGGGAGUCGUGAUGUUUUGGCCGGAAGAAGCUGAGGAAUGCUGGUGGAGAUGCUGGAAGGAAGUGAUGGAUGGUGGCGGUGGGCGAGGGGGCGGACCCCCAGCGCCACCGUGGGCGACAUGUUGCACCUUACGUAAGGCGUCUGGCUGAGCACGCCAACAAUGGGCUGGGCUGCCAGACGUCGUCGCAUACCAUUCUGCCGCCAUAAUUAAGAAAGCCACCUUUGGUCUUUGCUGCUGCGUUCCAAAGCGUCACCGGACAAAAGGGCAAGCUCCGACAUGACGUAUGCGACCGCGGAGGAGAGGGGACGCGGGAUUGCAGCCUGCGGGCGUUUUUCAGAGGGUCUGCCUUUGAAAAAACUCACUUGAAGGCAUCAGAGCUUCUUCAAGAUGAAUUAAAGCUCGGCUUAUGCGGAGGUUCUUUUGUGUCUUUAUCCCCAAAAACCUUUUUUUUUGGACACUGAAUUUGGUUUUUACAUCAAAUUAUGCUGACAAUUUCACAGAAUGAAAACAAAAAUAAAAAUUGUGAGCAAAGUUUGUGUUUAAAAAAUUAGUGUGUAAAAAUUCAGUGUAUAGAAAUUUUGGUAAAAAAUUUUUUUGCAGACAAUUUCAUUAAAUAUACAAUUUGUGAGAAAAAUGUGCGUUCAAAAAUUCCCUGAGUUAAACUUCAGUGUAUAGAAAUUCAGGGGAAAUUUUUUUUGCUGCCGAUUUCUUAAAUAAAAAUUUGUAAGAAAAAUGUGCGUGUUAAAAAAUUCACUGUUGAAAUUCAGUGUAAAAAAAUCAGUGUAUAGAAAAUUUGGUAAAAUAAAAAUUUGCUGAUGAUUUCAUUAAAUUAAAAAAAUGAGAAAAAUAUGUGUUUAAAAUUUCACUUUGUUAAAAUUCAGAGUAAAAAAUGUUUGCUAACGAUUUCAUUAAAUACUAAUUUGUAAGGAAAAUGUGUGUGUUUAAAAAUUCACUUUGUUAAAAUUCAGUGUACAACUUUUUUUUUGCUGACGAUUUCAUUAAGUACA